GUUGGGCAUCUUCCACUGCCCUCACUUGACCAUUUGCUGAGCGACUCUACAACUGUUAGCCCACUUCACUCCUGGCCCCUCACCAGGCCUCCAUGCCCCCACUGGGCCUCUUCCCUCUUUACUAUGCCCCUCUCUCAGGGCUUCUACUUACUUGCCCACUCACAGGGCCUCUCUCUCCAUCACUCCUCUAUCUCAGGGUUUCUACUCAUGCCCCCAGGCUUUACCCUGCUGCCAGGGUGCAGCUCUGGGUGCCUCCU